GGAUCACCUUCUUCCCUUCCCACUAUUCUGUUUUCUGAGCUUGAGGAGGGGGGCUGUCCGAGGGAAAAUCGAAGCUCUGAGCUCCCUCGAGCUCUUGAAGAUCAUAGAGGGCGAAAGGGGGGGAGAAACCAAGACAUGCCCAAUUAUUUUCAAGCUUCGUGAGUGAUUUUUGGCUUCAUUUGAAUGAUGAAGGAUGUAGCAUCCUGGUCUGCUGAGCUUAGUCAUAACGUUGCGAGUUCAGGCUUUUUCCUCAAGGAUUUGCAUUUUUAGGUUGCAAAUUAUGCUAGAAAAGUUAAAUUAUGGAGAUAACUAUAGAUCAAAGGCAGAACAGGAGGAUUUAUUGAGGCCGAAGAGAGAAGCAACGAUUCACAACCACUUUGGCAAACCAGUAAACCCUGUUUAGUAUUUAUAUAGACCACAAGCUUUAAACAGGAUGUGAGCUGAUGUUCCCUAAAAUGGGCCUGUGGACUGUACCGAUGGAUAAUCAGAUACAACUUAUUUAGUGUUUAGACUGUUAGUGUUACGGUUGAUUAAGGUUAGGAUUGCUUGCUUGGGGUCUCAUGCUACUACUGGCUUUUCUGUAUGUGCUAUUUUUAUGUUCAUUUAAUUUGUGAUGGUGUUUGUGUUCUCUGCAGCCCGAUGUACAAAAGCAAAUCAAGAUAGCACGAUUCUUUG